AGAAAACAAGUGCCUAAGAAGAAAAAUGAAAUACAGUUAUAACAAAAUGAUUAGACAAGAAGGGCACUGAGUUCAGUGCAGGGAACGCCAUUCAGUUCUUUGAAGUUGUGCAGAUGGAGGGUAACAGUAGUGUAUCAAACUCAAGCAGUGGUGGCCUUGUCAACGUUGCAGUAUAACAUUCUUGUGUAUUUGGUACUGAUUCCAAAUGGCAAUUAGAUUCUGGAGCAGAGAAAGAGGGCUUCUGCUGGUCCAGCAGAAACCACCUGAAGGAUUUUAGUGGGAACUUGGGGGACUUGAUUUUUUUUUUUUUAAAUGGACAAAGUAUGAAUUCUGGCAGCUAGAGCAACAUACCCAUAUUCCUUGCUAGUAUAAAUUGGCAAAGAUCUGAUGGAGCUGUAGCAAUUUAUACCAUCUGAGAUUCUGACCCAUUUCAGCAUGUUUAUACAAUAGCCACCUCCUUAUUCCAAAGACUUCAGUAUCUCAGAGGUGGUACUGUUGGCUGACACAUAGACAAGAAAAAUGAAGAAGAGAAACUGCAGCUUGGAUCAAGACGUUUUCCCAAAGGAGCAAAAAGAAUAUUCAAGACACCUUCUUGAUACUUCCCUGUAAGAACUUGGAGUAGCUGCUAAGAGAAUGCCCUUGCAGCUGAGAGAAAAAUGUUUGCAUUCCACUCUGAAUGGCAGGAUGGGCUAUCCCACAGGUGUCAAUAGGAGCACCCAGGAGCUGCAAUGAGGGUGCCAGGCACUGUACAAAAGAAGGGUAAGUAAAUGACUCUUCUUAACCAGACUGCUGAGCUCCAUACUCAUUUGAGAUUACUGGUUUACAGUAUUA
rnacentral:lncRNA from 1 species